rnacentral:rRNA from 1 species
AUUGAACGCUGGCGGCAUGCUUUACACAUGCAAGUCGAACGGUAACAGGCCGCAAGGUGCUGACGAGUGGCGAACGGGUGAGUAAUGCAUCGGAACGUGCCCAGUCGUGGGGGAUAACGCAGCGAAAGCUGUGCUAAUACCGCAUACGAUCUAUGGAUGAAAGCGGGGGACCGUAAGGCCUCGCGCGAUUGGAGCGGCCGAUGUCAGAUUAGGUAGUUGGUGGGGUAAAGGCCUACCAAGCCGACGAUCUGUAGCUGGUCUGAGAGGACGACCAGCCACACUGGGACUGAGACACGGCCCAGACUCCUACGGGAGGCAGCAGUGGGGAAUUUUGGACAAUGGGCGCAAGCCUGAUCCAGCAAUGCCGCGUGCAGGAAGAAGGCCUUCGGGUUGUAAACUGCUUUUGUACGGAACGAAACGGCCUGGGUUAAUACCCUGGGCUAAUGACGGUACCGUAAGAAUAAGCACCGGCUAACUACGUGCCAGCAGCCGCGGUAACAC